rnacentral:lncRNA from 1 species
CAUGCAUCGCUUGUUAUAAUAACUCUUGUCAUUAUGCUACAUUAUAUACGUGGGCCUGAUAUAAUCACACAAGCUCCUUAAGAACAUAGGGUGUUGGACAGCUGGUAACAGGAAAGGAAGUCAGAGAUCUGAAGCAGAUUCUAUGUACCAUUGCUGGCUUGUAGAUAAGGAGGGACAUGUGGAAAAGACCUGAAAGUGGCCUCUGGGAGCUGAGCGGCAACAAGGCAAUGAGCACCUGCGUCCUACAAUCAUUAAGAACUGCAUUCUGCCAAGAAACUGGGUCCUGGGGACACAGAAUACAUAAAUUUUGGUUAACAAAAAGAAAAGGAAAAAAAAUGCAAAGACAAAGGAGAAAAGCGUAUAAUGAGGAUCCUGGGAAGACAAGGUCAUGAACAAGCUAGACACGCCUUGUGUGCUCAGGGGAGGAGUAACAUCACCAGUACAGAGAAUGAAAACAUUGUAAUGGAAUAUCUGAGGACCUAAUUCAAUUUUACCAGCUUACUUUCCUUUGGACCAAGAUAAUUAUAAAAUUCCUGUGCAUUCUCCACAACAAUUUUGAUCCUUUUUUGUCUAACUCAGUGAUCUCCAAAUUGGGAUCAUACACUCAGAUAAGCAAGAAGAGAUGCUGAACUUUCACUGUUUUCCUGAACAAUGGAGAAAUUAUCUCCCUUCGUGAAAUGUUACUUUCUGAGUACCCAUCUCUAAUGGCACAACCUGCAAUUCCUGAAGAUGUUCAAAUGAAUUCAGCGAGAGCUGUGGAUGAGAGUUCCCUUGGAGUCUGAAUGCUGUUAGUCCCAAGAGCCAGUGGGUCCUCAUCUCUUCAACAUGUUUGUAAUUGAGCCAUUGAGAAUUGUUUCACUUGUUAUCUACUAGACACAGAAAGAUAAGAGAGAAAAAAAGAGAAAAAAAAUCACGUAAUGAAACUCUAUGUGCUCUAAUUGAUUUGCUUCAGAGUUUGCUAUGUCUGGCACAUGUUCUUCAGAUAAUGUGUGUGUAUCUGUAUGUGUGUGUGUGCAAUUACUGUCAUUUUCAGCUUUUAUUUAAAAUGAAAUAAUGGAAAAUACCCUAUUUUUGGUUUUAUUUAUUUAUUUAUUUAUUUUUGAGAUGGAGUCUCACUAUGUUGCCCAGGCUGGAGUGCAGUGGCACGGUCUCAACUCACUGCAACCUCCACCUUCUGGGUUCAAGUGAUCUCCUGCCUCAGCCUCCCGAGUAGCUGGGACUACAGGCAUGUGCCACGACACUGGGCUAAUUUCUUGUAUUUUUAGUAGAGACAGGGUUUCAUCAUGUUGGCCAGGCUGGUCUCAAACUCCUGACCUCAGGUGAUCUGCCUGCUUUGGCCUCCCAAAGUGCCAGGAUUACAGGUGUGAGCCACCAUGCCUGGCCUAUUUUGGUAUGUUUUUGAGAGAAGAAAGAGAAAAGCACACAGUCUUUCUGCUUCCUGCUUUAACAUUACUGAUAAUUUUUAAACCUAGAAAUAUUUAUGGCUAAAUUUAUAAAAUUCAGUACACUCAGCAUAAAAACACAGAUUCAAGUACCAUAACUGGAUUAUAAACUUUACAUAAUAAUGAAAAAUAAUAAUGCAUUUAGAUUUUUCACAGAAAAUUUAUUUAGGGUUCCUAUGUUUAUUUUUUGUAUGUUAGAUUAUGUUCUAAAGCAUUUAUGUAAUUAUUAAAA